CCUACGGGUGGCAGCAGUGGGGAAUAUUGGGCAAUGGAGGAAACUCUGACCCAGCAAUGCCGCGUGAAUGAAGAAGGUCUUCGGAUUGUAAAGUUCUUUAGUCAGGGAAGAAGAAAAUGACGGUACCUGAAGAAUAAGCUCCGGCUAACUACGUGCCAGCAGCCGCGGUAAUACGUAGGGAGCAAGCGUUGUUCGGAAUGACGGGGCGUAAAGGGUGCGUAGGCGGUUAUCCCAGUUAGAAGUGAAAUACCCAGGGCUUAACUCGGGUGCGGCUUCUCAAACUGUAAGACUGGAGUGCAGUAGAGGUUAGUGGAAUUCCUAGUGUAGCGGUGGAAUGCGUAGAUAUUAGGCGGAACACCAGUGGCGAAGGCGGCUCACUGGACUGCACCUGACGCUGAGGCACGAAAGUGUGGGGAGCGAACAGGAUUAGAUACCCCAGUAGUC
rnacentral:rRNA from 1 species